UACGUAGGGUGCGAGCGUUGUCCGGAAUUAUUGGGCGUAAAGGGCUCGUAGGCGGUUUGUCGCGUCGGGAGUGAAAACACCGGGCUUAACUCGGUGCUUGCUUUCGAUACGGGCAGACUUGAGGCAUGCAGGGGAGAACGGAAUUCCUGGUGUAGCGGUGAAAUGCGCAGAUAUCAGGAGGAACACCGGUGGCGAAGGCGGUUCUCUGGGCAUGUUCUGACGCUGAGGAGCGAAAGUGUGGGGAGCGAACAGG
rnacentral:rRNA from 1 species